CUCAGCGUUAGGAAGGCUGAGAACCACGGCUCUAGGACGACAGGAUUACUACUGAGAACCACAGCUCUAGGAUGACAGGAUUACUACUGAGAACCACGGCUCUAGGACGACAGGAUUACUACUGAGAACCACUGCUCUAGGAUGACAGGAUUACUACUGUCCACUUCCUCCUUCACCUUACAUCCCUGCUGGAGAACGUCUUUCUAACCGACUUCACUGGACAGAGUACUGGUCCUGAGAACGUUAGCCAAUGGCCCACUUGAAGUCCGGACAGAGUACUUAGUCCUGAGAACGUUAGCCAAUGGCCCACUUGAAGUUAUUAAACAGACAAAAUGAUGACACCUUU